GCAUGCUCAUGGGUGGUUUGGCGAGCCGUGAUUGAUGCGUUGGGGGAUGGAGGGAGAUUCAGGGUCGGGUCCCACCGCCCGGGGAGCGGAAUGUUCUCUGAGCUGAACCGCUGUCGGUCACUACUCCCGGCGGGAGAACCGGUUCCUGACGGUGGAGCCGGAGGCAUGAGCGGCGCGCAACUCCCAUGGAGCUGUAUAGCGCCCAGGAUGCUUCCACACGAUUCCUCAGCAUCGCCCAACGAUUAUAAACUCUUUGGGACAGGAAUUGUCUACUUAUAUGAUUGCACAAGGACCAGAACAAUGGUGUGUUCUGCUGAUUGGGGCGUUGAGAGAAAAGUUGUUCUGAAAAUGGGAGAGUCUGAUACUUUGACUCCAAAAGGAGAGAGACUUUGCUCUGUCUCCGAAGACUUGGGCUGUAGACGUGGAGAGUUCAGUAGAAAGCAUUAUGGAUCUGUGGAGCUGCUUAUAUCUAGUGAUGCUGAUGGAGCCAUUCAAAGAGCUGGACGUUUCCGAGUGGAAAACGGAUCGUCUGAUGAGAAUGCAGAUUUCACCCCAGGUACAUGGCGCAGAACAGAUGUGCACUUGGAAAACCCAGAGUACCACACCAGAUGGUAUUUCAAAUAUUUUCUAGGAAAAGUUCAUCAGAAUUACAUAGGUACAGAUGCAGAGAAGAACCCUUUUUUUCUGUCUGUCGUGCUCUCCAACCAAAACAAUCAACGUGUCCCUCAAUACCGCUCAAUUCUCUGGAAAAAAACAGGUACUCAGAAAAUAUGCCUCCCUUACAGUCCCACGAAAACAUUAUCAGUGAAAUCUAUUUUAAGUGCCAUGAAUCUUGACAAAUUUGAAAAAAGCCCUAGGGAAAUUCCUCACCCUGAGAUACAAAAGGAUUUACUGGUUCUUGAAGAGCAAGAGGGCUGCGUAAAUUUUAAGUUUGGAGUUCUUUAUGCCAAAGAUGGUCAACUUACAGAUGAUGAAAUGUUCAGCAAUGAAACUGGAAGUGACAGCUUUCAAAGAUUAUUGAAUCUUUUGGGUGACACAAUUACACUGAAGGGCUGGACAGGCUACAGAGGAGGCCUGGACACUAAAAAUGAUACAACAGGAAUAUAUUCCAUAUACACAGUGUAUCAAGGGCAUGAGAUUAUGUUCCAUGUUUCAACCAUGUUACCAUAUUCUAAAGAGAACAAGCAGCAAGUAGAAAGGAAGCGUCAUAUUGGAAAUGACAUUGUCACUAUCGUGUUCCAGGAAGGGGAAGAAUCUUCUCCAGCAUUUAAGCCUUCCAUGAUUCGCUCUCAUUUUACACAUAUUUUUGCCUUAGUGAGAUAUAAUAAGCAAAAUGAUAGUUACAGGCUGAAAAUAUUUUCAGAAGAAAGUGUACCUCUCUUUGGGCCUCCCCUUCCAUCUCCACCUGUGUUCACAGAUCACCAGGAAUUCAGGGACUUUGUACUAGUGAAGUUAAUAAAUGGGGAAAAAGCCACCUUGGAAACCCCAACAUUUGCUCAGAAACGGCAGCGCACUCUAGACAUGCUGAUUCGUUCUUUAUACCAGGACCUCAUGCCUGAUCUACACAAGAACAUGCUUAAUAGGAGGUCGUUUAGUGAUGUGUUACCAGAAUCCCCUAGAUCAGCACGGAAGAAAGAGGAGGCCCGUCAAGCAGAAUUUGUCCGACUUGGUCAGGCACUGAAACUGAAAACCAUUGUGAGAGGAGAUGCCCUAACUAGUUCAGCAACCACAAGCCUCUAUAAAAAGGAGCCAUGGGAGUCCCAAUGUUUCUGCAGUAAUUUUCCUCAUGAAGUUGUUUGUGCGGAUUCUUGGGGCCAGUCCUUGCUAGUUUCUACAGAUGUUGGUGUCCUGCUAAUAGAUGAUGGCCAGUCAUCAGUGCAAGUAUUUGAUAAAACUCUCCAGGUGAAACAGAUGCAUGUGCUGGAAGCUUUGGACCUUUUGAUUACUAGAGCAGACAAAGGGAAGGACUCUCGUCUCCUUGUCUUCAGGAUGAGCGCUGUACGAAAUGGCAUAGAAGCAAAGCAGAUGGCAAAGAGCAAAUAUGACUGCAGAGAAAAUAAACUUGAGAAAACAAAAGGCUGCCAUUUGUAUGCCAUUAAUACUCACCACAGCAGUGAACUGAGGAUUGUUGUGGCUAUUAGGAACAAACUACUCCUCAUCACAAAGAAAUACAAUCAAGGCAACAGUUUAACCAGUGUCUGUUUGAUGUCAUCACUGUCUGAAUCACCAGUGGAGGAAUUCCAGUACAUCAGGGAGAUUUGUCUCUCUGACCCUCCAGUGAUCAUGACUCUGGUGGAUGGACCUACUGGAGACAAUGACAAUAUGAUCUGUGUAGCAUAUCGGCAUCAGUUUGAUUUAGUUAACGAGAGUACUGGGGAGUCCUACAGGUUACAUCAUGUUGAAGCAAGCAGGGUUAAUUUUGUUGCAGCUAUUGAUGUAUAUGAAGAUGGUGAAGCUGGUCUACUGUUGUGUUAUAACUAUGUCUGCUACUACAGAAAGGUAUGCCCCUAUAAUGGGGGUUCUCCUUUGGUCCAGACAUCGGCAUCAGACUUCCACUUUAGUUGGAACCAGGUUCCGUAUGCUAUUGUUUGUGCUUUCCCUUAUAUCCUGGCCUUCACUACUGAUUCCAUAGAGAUACGAUUAGUGGUGAAUGGGAACCUAGUCCACACAGCUGUGGUGCCUGAACUUCAACUUGUUGCAUCAAGGUCAGAUAUUUAUUUUAAAGCUACUGCAACAGUAAGUGGAUCAUCCAAUAGCAGUUCCAAGGAAACCAGUUCAAACAGUUCUCCUCAGACUCCAACAGCUCAUGAAAUGCCAGAAUUUCCUUCUUUCUCAGCGGAAGGUGAAGUUCAGUAUAAAAACUUAUACAAAAUUCCUCUGAGUAACCUGGCUGGGAGGAGCAUUGAACGACCGCUGAAGUCACCAUUAGUCCCCAAGGCCAUCAUCACCUCAACGUCUAGUGUUACUGCCUCAGCUCCUGUCAGUCACUCAUUAUCUUUGUCUCGUAUGGAAAUUAAAGAAAUUGCAAGCAGGACACGCAAAGAACUGCUGGGCCUCUUGGAUGAGAAAGUUCCCAAAUCAGAAGUAGCACAGAAGCAAAAGAAGGUUCCUCGAAAACCAUCAGACCACAAGCAGGGAGCAAUAAGGUCAACAAGCAGUGACAGGAUAAUUUCAAGCUCUUUUGAAAGCAGUUCUGAAGGGCGUCACCUUUCCACUAGUUCAGAUCCUGAUACUGCAGCAAACCGGGAGGAGAGCCCACCAUCUAGCAGUCCAUUUCAUCUCACUACUUCAUUUGAUGAAGACAUCAUUGACUUGAAGUGAAGACAAUCUUGAGUCCCUUAUUUUCUCCUUUUUCUUUUCUUAUGACUCUGAAGGCCUUAUAGCAAUGUCACAACACUGCUUUUAGUGAUAACAUAUGGCUGGAAAUAGAGUAUAUUGGUGAAUAUUCUCUACAGAACCCAACUGGGUGAAGCUUUUUUGCCAUCUUCAUGUUUACCUUUCUCAGUUAAAGAACCAGUGGUUUGUAUUGUAGCAAGGUGGUAGAUAUCAAUGGUCGUUUUAGGAUGAUAAUUUUAAGUAAAUAAAAGGAUUCAUUUUUAUUCUCUCUGAACUUAUGUUUGGAGUACGUGAAUGAGAGUAACACUUAGCUGUGUUAUUUGCAGCCGCUGAUAUUACAAAUUGUUCCAUAGCACAGUGUGUCAUGUAGAAAGAUGAUCUUUAUAAAGAAAAUUAAUUUAUUCCAAUUUUUUUAAAAGAUAAAAACAAACUUGUGACAAAGUUCUUUUCAGCCAGGAUCAUCUGUCCCUGAAGUGGUACCGUUCUAUUAUAAUGUUUACUGAAGAACCAAGGAUAUUCUAUGAAGAUCAGAAUUCUGAAGUCCAUCAGUAAUGGCAGCAUCAGGUGACUCCCAGAUAAUAUCACCAAGCAAGAUAAGAAGGGCUGAGAGGAGCACAGACAGAAGUUGGAUAUUGAAGGAGACAAAUACUGGCAAUAAGGUGCAGAUUUUUAAUAGUUAUGGUAAUUAACUGAUCAAACAACCUACUGAGGGAUGUGGUGGCUUCUCCAUCACUUGGUGGCUUUAAAUUAAGAUUGGACAUAUUUCUAAAAGAUAUGCUCUAGCUUCACCAGAAGUUAUUGAGUUUGAUGCAGGAAUCAUUUGGUGAAAUUCUAUAGCUUGUGUUAUUCAGGAAGUCAUAAUAGUCUUUUCUGCCCUUAAAAAUCUAUGAAUUGUAUAAUUCUGAUAGCACCAGAUCACAAGAAAAUGACCUGCAUUUGUCCAGGAAAUGUGGACUGAGUGCCCUAACAAGUAUCUCUUGUCUAUAAUUUCUGUGAUUCAGUGAUUAAUCAGUAUGUCUUGGCAAAUGUAGGGAGAACAGCAAAAUAGCCAAGGGGAGCCGAAAAAGGGCUGGUGGGAUCAGAUAGGCUGUGUGGGGCACAGAAUGUGUAUCCACAUAUCCAGGAGAGGGAGAGAGAGAGUGUGUGUGUGUGUGUGUGUGCGCGCGCGCAAGAGCACACACGGGAAUAUGGGGGAGAGAAGAGUCAGAGAGGAGGUCAUAGUGUAAAAUACAGUAGUUAUAAUGUCAAAUAGUUGGCUGUCCAUAGCCAGUAUCCUAGAUCCUUCCCAAUCAGAUUACAGGCCAGUAUUUGAAAUAGAAAUAGUAUUGGAGAUGCUGAUGGAUGAUCUCUUGCCCCGCAUGGAUAAAUGGCAAAUGUCCAUACACAUAGGAUACUCUGCUGCCUGAGAGAGGUAUCAGGGGCUCCAGAGAAAUGAAAAUGGCUUCUUUGAGGGAUGUAGUGAUGGGCAACUGCACUUGUGCCACCUGGAUCCUCACUUAUGAAGUUUUCUCCCUUUGCCUUUUUAGUUGCUGAGAAUUUGCAAGAUGUUUUGAGUGCAAAUUUUAGCACUAUACAACUAAGCCAACUCCUCCUGCCUGUCACAACCUGAGACCCAGCUAUCUCAGUGCCUGGCCAAGACCAGCACAUGAAUGAGAAAAAGCUGGUUGAAAUUACAACCGAGCAAGACUGGGAUUAUGCUGGUAGGUAGAGGGGAACAAUUGAAAAACCAAAGCACUGUCUCCAUCAGUGGAGGCAUGCCCUGUGUAGCUCAAAAGCUUGUCUCGCUCACCAACAAAAGUUGGUCCAAUAAAAGAUAUUACCUCACCCACCUUGUCUCUCAAAUGAUCAAGACAGAUCACAGCUGAAGGGCUCUUCCAGGCUCCUCGCUGAUGCUGAACUCUCCCUUGAGUAUCUGCAAGAAACUUACUUUGCCCCCUGGGACUGGCAAUGGGACUACAGCACAUCCUGGCUGAUAGAAUUAGCCUUGCUCAUACACAUAGUCCUUACUACUUCACUUGUUUUAUAGGAAUAUAACUUACAUGAGUUGAAAGCACAAAGCCUGAAAAAAAUAUAGUUGGUCAGAAUACAGCUGUGUCUUACCUCAGCAGCCUGGGUUACUGAGAGCAAAUUGUUACUGCAUUCCACUUACUCCACAGGCUCCCUAUAGAAUGUUGAGUCAUAUUUAAGGACAGCUACUUAAGGGACCUUGACUACCCUUGUCAGCUCUGCUCCUCAGGAACAAUGGAACUAUGCCCACCUCAUGGAGCAAGCUCCUGUGUGAUGAGGCAGGCCUUUCCCACGGCUGGCCAAAGAAUUUGUGCCUUACUUCUGGGGGAAUUUUGCACCACUACAAUGCAGAAUUUUGCAGAAAUUAAUGUUGGGCGUACAGAAUUUCCUCCCCUCCCCCACCCCCAGAAAUGGGCAGCAGAGAUAUUGGCCACCACUAGACCCCGUAGAGCCCAGCUCACAAAUAGAAGACAAGGCUGGGGGGUGAGGGGAAAAAACUGGAGGGUUCCCAGCAGCUGCAGUGCCCAGCAUGUCCUGAAAGAAGGAGGUUGGGGGUGCACAGGAAACUCAGAAUCGAGCUGUUUUCCCCUCUGGAUCCCUGGACUCUAGGAGGGUGGGGUCUGUCAGUGUCUAGGCGGGGAGGAGGGCCCCACAGCUGGCCUCUGAGGGGGUAGGAGGUGUGAGUGUCUGGGCUUGGGGGGGGCAGCUGGGCUCUGGAGGGGGGAAUGGGUUUGAGUGUCUGGGCUGGGGGCCCCAGGCUGUAGUUGGUCUUUGGGGGGCAGGAAGUGUGAGUGUCUGGCACCUCUGCUGGGCUUUGGGGGGAGAGGGGAAGAGAAGCAGGAACUGGGUUGUCGUAGGGGUUUCUUUAACUCUCUACUCCUGUGGGAUUUUUUGUGUGUGUCUGUAUUAUUACAGACAUACCUGCUGACAGGUAUUAUGAAAUAAAUUACCAAAAUAAUUGAAAGUGGUGUGAUUAUAUAGUAUUAUUUUGAAACAUAAAAUGUGAAGAAUUUUGCAUAAUUUUAAAACAUUGUGCAUAGAAUUUUUAAUUUUUUGCUGCAGAAUUCCUUCAGGAGUAGUGCCUGCAGGAACUUUAGAAUGGUGACACUUUACCACUUUGGAAGCCAAAUGAAAAUUCACUUCUGUCCUGUAGCGUUCUUUCGUGGCAACUCACGUUGUCUUUAAAUUAAUAUAAAACAAAGCCAAAAAAAAAAAAAACUGUGGGGAAUGAAGGCCAACAUUUGUUUUUAAACUUUGAAAAGGGGGGGGGGGGGAGACAAAUACCAGCAUGCUGGAAAUAGUGCAAGAACCUAAGUAGAAUGCAGUACAUGUAUAGUCAACCGUUGUCGCUCCAUGUGGGGUGAGGGACUUGAAGUUUUGCUUCUCACAACUUACAGAGACUCCGUACCUCUACAGAGACUAGGGAUAAAUGUGUUUGUUAUUAGAGAGAGAGAGAGAGAGAGUGUGAGUGAGUGAGUGAAUAUAUUAUAGGGUGACCAGACAGCAAAUGUGAAAAAUCAGGACAGGUGGUGGUGGGGUAAUAGGCGCCUAUAUAAGAAAAAGACUCAAAAAUCGGGACUGUCCCUAUAAAAUCAGGACAUCUGCUCACCCUAAUAUAAUAGCUGAAAGCUUAUGUUACCACAUGAUUAUAGCACUUGGGCCAAGUAAUCCUCCAUCUAUGUAAGCUCCCUCAUACAACCAGUGAAACUGUUGCAUGCAAAAUUAGCUAUAAAAGCAGUGAUUGGUCAAUUUACCUCUGAUACCAUAAUGGUCUAGGACUCCUGACACAGCAUAGAUACAUGUUUUACUAUAGUUGUACCCAGCAUGGAUGUAAUUUGUAAAGUCGAACACCCUGCUAAUACGACUGAUGACUGAACCUGGUGAUAUUCUGAACAAAAAGAGCCCUCAACCAUGCUUGUAGCUGAUUUCAUCGCUUCAUACUGACUCGGCCAGUCUGAUGUCAGCUUUUUUUUUUAGAGAGUUCUGCCUUAGGGCAGGGUGUGUUAUACAUGGCGUUACGAACUCUCAAGGGCAGGAUUUGCCCACCUUGCUGUUCCAAGUGCAUGUUCCCUGGAUUUAUGUCAGCCUAUAGUCUGCCUUUUGGGUAACUGUAAUGUCCUCUUAAAUUGUUGUAGCCCCAUUGGUCCCAGUAUAGUAGAGACACAAGGUGGCUGAGGUAAUAUCUUUUAUUGGACCAACUUGAAGUUACUACCUCACCUACCUUGGUUCUCUAAGGCCCUCUCAAGUCCAUCAUUGAGGUCAGGUAUGCUUGGCCAUUCUAAAGACUUGCGCUGCCUUGCUAAUUAUUCCCUUUCAGUAGCAUGAAGCAAAAUGCUUCUAAAGAGCAACACGAUCUUUUGAUAGCUUGUAGCUCACUAGUCUGCCUCAUGCCAUACUGGGCACAAUCAUUUGGCUGGAAUACAUUUUGGAAAACACACUCAAGUUUAUUAACACUGUUCAUCAACAGCCAAGUUUAGACUCCUCCUUAUAAGACAGGAAAUUAAAAAUCGUGUGUUGGCACAUACAUUUAUAAUGAUAUUUAAAGGAUAUUCCUUUCCCCGUUCAUUGUGUUACAUCAUAUUUGUAGCUUUCUGUGAGAAUGAACAAGAAAUUGAGAAUGAAUAGUGCUGUGAUUUGGUGUGGUAGUUUAUACACCCAGCGUUUGCCACUUUAGCUAAAGAGAACUUUUCUCAUGCCCUUCUGGUGUUGGUGAAUAAGCUCUUAUGGAUUUUGUUUUGUGAUUGAAUAAAUUCGACCUUGAGACAUUUGGAUUUCAUUUCUAAGAUGCAGGAAAUUCUGGUGUUUGAGUCGGCAGCAAAUGUCUUUACUAGCAGCCAGGUUACUAAAUGUAUUUUUAGUAUAGUAUAAUGCAUGUCUGCUUUGCCCUAGUCCUACUAGUGACAUUCAAAUGACCAACGGCAGCCUUUGUUUAUCUGUGUAAAUGUGAAUUCAUGACAAUACUACGAGCCUUGAGGAAAAAAGAAAACAGGAAUAUUUUUGCACAUGUAUUUACUGCCUCUUAUUUAAGUAUUUAUCUAGUUGAAAGGAAGAAGUUAGGAUUCUAAGGUUUGUACAAAGCAGUUUGUGUCAACCCUGAUUUUUGUUUUAUUGAAGUGUUUGAAUGUUAGCAGUGGGUUAUGUACCUCAAUGAUUAUGUACUGUUAGACUGUUGCUGAACCUUUGUGAUCUAAAAAUUAACUACCACCAAGUGUCUUAAAAUCUAUUGUAUUGCCACUGUUUUUAAUUGCAAGUAAUGUAUAUGUACCAUGUUUUGAAUGUAGCCUGUAAAGAAAGGGAACCAUUACUAUAAUAACUAAAGCUGUUUUAAGUGCAAUAGGCCAUUGUUGUGAAGGAGCAGCAGGUACUUUUUUGUUCAUUGAGAUGUAAUAAAUAUUUAUAAAAUUUGA